rnacentral:rRNA from 1 species
UACGUAGGGGGCAAGCGUUGUCCGGAAUCAUUGGGCGUAAAGCGCGUGUAGGCGGCUCGAUAAGUCUGCUGUGAAAGUCCAGGGCUCAACCCUGGGAUGCCGGUGGAUACUGUCGAGCUCGAGUCCGGAAGAGGCGAGUGGAAUUCCCGGUGUAGCGGUGAAAUGCGCAGAUAUCAGGAAGAACACCCGUGGCGAAGGCGGCUCUCUGGGACGGUACUGACGCUGAGACGCGAAAGCGUGGGGAGCGAACAGG